UACGGAGGGUGCAAGCGUUGUCCGGAUUUAUUGGGUUUAAAGGGUGCGUAGGUGGCCUGUUAAGUCAGUGGUGAAAUACAGCCGCUCAACGGUUGAGGUGCCAUUGAUACUGAUAGGCUUGAAGCAGACAGAGGCUGCCGGAAUGGAUGGUGUAGCGGUGAAAUGCAUAGAUAUCAUCCAGAACACCGAUUGCGAAGGCAGGUGGCUAUGUCUGUCUUGACACUGAGGCACGAAAGCAUGGGGAGCAAACAGGAUUAGAAACCCCCGUAGUCC
rnacentral:rRNA from 1 species